GCCGGCUCUAAACUGCCCUCCGUGAUUGGACAAUACUGAUCAGUAAUUACUCGAUUCCACCAAUCAUGUUGCUCGUCCCGCCCGGCAGGUAGGAGGUGGGCCUUAUGCCGGAGCCUCAUCCUACUGCCUUACUAUUGGUCGUCGGCAACCGCUUUGUUAGUUAAUUGGAGAGACUGGAUGUCCAUCAGGGUCACGCUUGCAGGGCAACGAGAGGCAAAACAAGAGGGAAGACGACUUUCCUCCUGUGAGCCAAUGAGGCCAGCUGGACUACGCCGAGACAACUGGGAGAGGCGCGGGACUCGCCCGUUCCGCGGAACGCCGGGAAGGGGUCACCUCCUGAUGAAGUUUCCGGUUCCGGUGUCAGCGGCGGUUGAAUUGCCAUGGCAAUGCGAUUCAUUGAUUCCAGGUAAAUCAGAGGAACAAGCAACAUGAACAGAAAUAUGUAGAAAAAGCUAUUAUGCAGAAGCAUAAUUGUUGUUUCAGAAGUCCAGCAUCUGGUGCACUUAACAAUAGAGAAUAUAUUAAACUCUUUCCAAAAUAACCUGUUGUUCCUACCUGUGUUGUAAGUGUUUUGUUUGUUUUUAAGUAAAUAUUGGUGAUUUGUUGCCAAAAACCUAAACUGUUUGUUGCUGUCAACUUAAAUAACGAACAGAGAGAGGCUCUCUAAAAGAAAAUGGCAUUUAUUCAGGAAUAGAGCACUGCAAUGAGAAAAUGCAUGCGAUAGUUAACUGUGUGUAUCCUGGGAGAUAGAGGAAGACAAAGGUCUUUAAAGGAAAAAUGAGGAGGGUUACAUAAUUGUUUUGAGAUAAUUAUUUUUGACUACAAGGAUCAGUAACAAAGGUGACACCAGUCCCAGGUUGGACAGGCAGGUGCUCGGCAGGCAUUGCAGAAGUAUUUUUUGUGUAAGAUUGAGAUGGCCUUUGUGCAGGAUUGUGGUUUUGGAAUCUUCUGUGAUCGUUUUUGCUAUCAGGCAUUUAUGCUUGCGAACUCUUUAUGGCCUUCCCUGUGUCUAUUUUGAUUCCACCUUUCUCAUUGCCCACUCUAAACUGUAAUUCUGCUUUUAUGUUGACUGAGAUCAGGAGAAGAAUUUGCAAACUUAUAUCCUGAGACAGAACAGUAAUGAGGAGUAUCGUGUUCCUUACCUAAUGUAUAAUAUUGGGCUCAGAAGCAGUUGUCUUUUUUAUUUGUUGAACGUUGUAUUAAGUUGAGAAUGCAGCUGCCAUUAAAGAUUAAGAGUAAUCCUUGAGAAGGAAGAGUACAAAGCCUGUGUUUUGCUAAAUCAUAGUGAAGUUGCCGUGUUUUUGUAGAAUAUGAUAAGAACAUACAGUGUGUGAAAUGCUAAGGAUAUGGAAAAGCAUGUUGGUGCUCUUUCAAGGAGCUAUUUUGAUAGCAUGAGCAAGGGCAGGAAACAGAUCAUGUAUCUGAACCAAAGAAAUUGAAACAAUACAUCUAAAUUUAAAUUUUUAAUAAAACAACCCAAAAUAUAGUGAAAUACUUAGCACCAAACAUCAGUGAUCUUAAGAAGCAAAGAAAACAGUAUUCAAAAUACUUCGUCCAAAGUAUCAGACUUUUGCAUAAAGUUUGGCAUUUUGGUUUUGAGAUUCCUCUUUAGUCCUAUGAUGAAAACAUGACAAAAUAUACAUCUUAAAUAAACAGUUGUCAUCAGUCUGCAUCUAUGACCAGAUGUUUUGGGUGUUUUGAGUAAAUGGCCUGUCUUAGCAUGUGAUGGCUUCCUGCCUCGUGAACAUUAGUGAAGAGGUGAGGGUGGGAAGUACUCAGGAACUUCUGAGAAUCCUGGGAUUUGAGUCACAGGAUUGGUUAAACCCCAAACUAAAUAAUCAUGCCGUGUAAACAUGCUGACUCAGGCAUCCUAAAAAUGUUUUUCUUCCUUGUGUUUAUUUAUAGAUAAGGCUUUACUAUAUUUGGUAGAACUCCUGUUUUCUAUCCACUUCUCCAAAAACAAAUUCGCCAUUGAAUUCAUCGUGUAAACCUCCACAUAUCUGAGAUAGCUUCUUCCGUUUAUCAGCCCCAAAUGAAGAACUAGAGUUCAGAUUAUUGAACUGAAGGUGAUGCUUUAUCUGAGCACUCCACAUGUCAGUGUUUCUGUACCUUUACUUUUUUAAAAAAUUAUUUUUUAAAAAGAUGAGGUCUCAGUAGGUUGCCCAGACUGGUCUCCAACACCUGGUCUCGAAUACUCCUCCCGCCUUGCCCUCCCAAAGUGCUAGGGUUACAGGUGUGAGCCGCCGCACUGGCCCUGUUCAUUUUAUGCUCAGUGCUGCAUUCUUGUUUGUUCUUAGAAAAUGAGAGGGUGUGUUUGCAUGAGAACGUGUGGUACAGAAGUGUCUAUCUGAGCUGGCCAGAACAUUCUGCAAAUGUCAUAUUAAGGGCAAAAUGGCUGCUUGGAUUGUACAAGGGGCCGAACCACCACGCAUUCCUAAGCUAAAAUAGCAGAUUCUAUUGACCUGAGCUGGAACCUGAAAGCUUCCUCUGUGAUGCACUGAGCUAUCAUCUAGUAGUUUUAGAGCAUCACUGCAACCCUGGAACUACCUGGAUUCCCUGAUAACACCAAAAAUAAUGUAAUGUAUAAGAAACUGAAGCAAAAUGCAGCCCUCAGAAUUUUUCUAGUCCCUAUUGUGGAGAUAGAAAUGCUUGUUGGAUUUCGACUACCUCUAUCUGACAAGGCAGCUGGUUUAUUAAUACUUCUUUGGCCGAGGCUUUGCUCAUCCCUGCCGCCCACAUCUUGGAGACAGGAAGGCAGGCCAGCCUCCACUGUGUCACACAAGUCCUGCUCCCUUCACCUGCCCUGAGUCACUGGGUCACUGAAGAGAAAGGGCAUGCUGUAGAUCUGGUUAGUUCAGUCUAGAAUAGACCGUGGGAGAUAGGUGAGCAUUUAUGAAAAGCCCAGAUGCCAUGACAACCCAGUUUUGUCCUGGAAUUUGGGUGGAGGUGUAGUCCUGGGUUCUGGUCUUAAACGUCGCUGAGUACUUGAGUUCUUUUUGAUUUUCCUCAGAUUUUUCCACAUCUAUUUUCCCCUUUCUGGAUUUUGGAAAAAUCCAAAUUGAUGUCUGCCGAAGUUUGUAUAUAAUUGAAGAAUUUCUUCAUAUAAAGGCUGCAGCGUUGUAAGAAAUCUGUGUGUACUUUCUCUGCUCAUAAAUAUUUACCCCCAAAUGUUAUCAUCUUGCAUAGAUUGUACUUUUUUG
rnacentral:lncRNA from 1 species